AAGAAUUUCCUAUUAUCAAAAAGAGAGACAUUGCCAACAACUUUGGCAUCAUUCCAAUCGUUGACAAGUCUGUAGAUGCUGCUUGGCCUACUCCAAUGCAGAAGCACGGAUACAACAUCUCUAAAGGUAUGCAAUUUAUUAAUAUGCAUAUAUUACAUAAAAUCAAAACUUAUGCAUAUAAGAUACUUCAUGGCAUAAAGCUUAUUUGGAGGACAUUUUGUAACACUUUCAGAAUUGUUACAAUUUUAAAAUAGUUUCUUCGGUACUUGAGGACUAAUGCAUUCUGCAAUCAGCUGCCUUCUACGAAUAACAACAUUACAUUCCAUUUCCAAUGUUGCAGAUCAUUUUCCUGCAGGCGAUGGUUGUAAGUCCGAUGGAAAUAACAGUCCAAUUAUUAGUGGGGUUCUGGCCUUUGUGAUGGGAAUUGUCACCAUGGUUCGCAUGACGCGCAACAUGCCAAGAAAGCUUACUGAAGCUGCUAUUUAUGGCUAUGAUGAUACAAUGAUGAAAAGCCACGCAUUGCCAGCGCCCUCCAUCUCUACCACAGAAUACAAGAACAUGAUGAUGAGCAUGGCUGAAAUGGAAAAGAAGUUGAAUGUUCUUGCCUCAAGAGCUGCUACUAUGCCACCUGAGAAAGAGGAAAUGCUGAAUGCUACUUUAAGGCGCGUUGAUUUCCUUGAGCAAGAGCUGUUAGCAACCAAGAAGGUUUUCUCCAAUUCUCUCCUCCACAUACAGGAAAAGGAAGAAAAGUAGUUUAGAAAAUAACUAGUUUGUAAGAGCAGUAAGAGCCAGAAAUAUUUGAGAUAAUUUUCUGUAUUUUAUAUGUCUUAUUUGUGCAGGCACUUGAGGAUGCAGCUACUAAACAGCAGGAACUCCUGGAGUACAUUGAAAAGAAAAAGAAGAAGAAGA
rnacentral:misc_RNA from 1 species